GAUUCCCCCCGCGCGCGGCGGGCGGGGCGGGGGCACGGGGGGCCUACGGGAGGCAGCAGUGGGGAAUAUUGCACAAUGGGGGAAACCCUGAUGCAGCAACGCCGCGUGAGUGAUGAAGGUUUUCGGAUCGUAAAGCUCUGUCUUUGGGGAAGAUAAUGACGGUACCCAAGGAGGAAGCCACGGCUAACUACGUGCCAGCAGCCGCGGUAAUAAU
rnacentral:rRNA from 1 species